AGGCUCGUAGCUCAACCGGCAGAGCGUCCGACUCCAAAUCGGAAGGUUGGGGGUUCAAGUCCUCCCGGGCCUG
rnacentral:tRNA from 1 species